rnacentral:rRNA from 1 species
AUUGAACGCUGGCGGCAUGCUUUACACAUGCAAGUCGAACGGCAGCGCGGGCUUCGGCCUGGCUGCGAGUGGCGAACGGGUGAGUAAUGCAUCGGAACGUGCCCAGUAGUGGGGGAUAGCCCGGCGAAAGCCGGAUUAAUACCGCAUACGACCUGAGGGUGAAAGCGGGGGACCGAAAGGCCUCGCGCUAUUGGAGCGGCCGAUGUCGGAUUAGCUAGUUGGUGGGGUAAAGGCUUACCAAGGCGACGAUCCGUAGCUGGUCUGAGAGGACGACCAGCCACACUGGGACUGAGACACGGUCCAGAAUCCUACGGGAGGCAGCAGUGGGGAAUUUUGGACAAUGGGGGCAAGCCUGAUCCAGCCAUGCCGCGUGCGGGAAGAAGGCCUUCGGGUUGUAAAGCGCUUUUGUUCGGGAAGAAAUCCUCUGGGCUAAUACCCCGGGGGGAUGACGGUACCGGAAGAAUAAGCACCGGCUAACUACGUG